CAAAAUGUGAAGCAUCAGAUGUUUCUACAGAUCUGAGCUUCCACAACCAAUUUAGAGUCUGAAGUGCCUAGAUCAAAGACAAAGAAUAACUGGCCAUUUCUCUGUGCAGAUACCAGGUUAUGUGGGCCAACUAAGUAGCCAAUGUUUCCUUCCAGAAGAUGACAAGAGAUGAGUUUUGAAAGCCAACAAACAAGGCUCAGCCUGACUGCAGUGUGUUCUGGCUCAUAUACUGCAGAAGACACACAUUUUGCU
rnacentral:lncRNA from 1 species